UGUAAUUUGAAGAAGGUAACUUUGGAGUUGGCUCUUGUCUAUGUUCCUUGGAACAGGACGUCACAGAGGGUGAGAAUCCCGUGCGAUGAGAUGUCCAACUCUAUGUAAAGUGCUUUCGAAGAGUCGAGUUGUUUGGGAAUGCAGCUCUAAGUGGGUGGUAAAUUCCAUCUAAAGCUAAAUAUUGGCGAGAGACCGAUAGCGAACAAGUACAGUGAUGGAAAGAUGAAAAGAACUUUGAAAAGAGAGUGAAAAAGUACGUGAAAUUGUUGAAAGGGAAGGGUUUGAGAUCAGACUUGGUAUUUUGUAUGUCUUGCUUUCGGGUGGGGCCUCUGCAGUUUACUGGGCCAGCAUCGGUUUGGACGGUAGGAUAAUGACAUUGGAAUGUGGCACUACUUCGGUGGUGUGUUAUAG
rnacentral:rRNA from 1 species